rnacentral:rRNA from 1 species
CGCUGGACCGUGCAUAAGUCUCCUGGAAUGGAGCGUCAUAGAGGGUGAGAAUCCCGUCUUUGGCACGGAAAUCCCAGGGCUUCUGUGAUGCGCUCUCGAAGAGUCGAGUUGUUUGGGAAUGCAGCUCAAAAUGGGUGGUGAACUCCAUCUAAAGCUAAAUAUUGGCGAGAGACCGAUAGCGAACAAGUACCGUGAGGGAAAGAUGAAAAGCACUUUGGAAAGAGAGUGAAACAGUACGUGAAAUUGUUGAAAGGGAAACGCUUAAAGUCAGUCGCGUCGACCGAGACUCAGCCUUGCCUAGGCUUGGUGUAUUUCUCGGCCGAUGGGUCAGCAUCAAUUUUGAUCCUCGGAUAAUGGCAAGGGAAAGGUAGCACCUUUACAGGUGUGUUAUAGUCCCACGUCGCAWGCGGGGGUCGGGAUUGAGGAACUCAGCAUGCACCUCUUGGGUGUCAGGGCCUUGGCCCAUGUUACGUGCUUAGGAUGCUGGCAUAAUGGCUUUAAACGACCCGUCUUGAAACACGGACCAAGGAGUCUAACAUACCCGCGAGUGUUUGGGUGGAAAACCCAUGUGCGUAAUGAAAGUAAAAGUUGGGACCUCUGUCGUGGAGGGCACCGACGCCUGGACCAGACCUUCUGUGACGGCUCUGCGGUAGAGCGUGUAUGUUGGGACCCGAAAGAUGGUGAACUAUGCCUGAAUAGGGUGAAGCCAGAGGAAACUCCUGGUGGAGGCUCGUAGCGAUUCUGACGUGCAAAUCGAUCGUCAAAUUUGGGUAUUAGGGCGAAAGACUAAUCGAACCAUCUAGUAGCUGGUUCCUGCCGA